GAGGCGGGGGGGGGGCGGGUCCCCCGCGAGCGCAGGGCGGUGCCACGAAGAAGAUUGACUGUGGCCUGAACCGCGGCGGAGACUCGCAAAACGCGGAGUGCUGCAGCAAACCCUGGAUUCCCGUCAGUAGCUUCGAGUUUUUGCUCCUCAAAAUCAAAUGCUGAAUUUUACCUGGAGGCCACUGCUGAGGGUCAUAAUAUGUAGCCCAGGCUGGCAUUGAACUCAUGGGGAUCCUCCUGUCUCAACCUUCUGGUGAUAGGAUUACAGCAUCAAUUUCCGACCCCACAGCAAACGCUGAAUGUAGUUCCCAAGUACUUUGCUGGAGUUGCUGGGAUGUCUGGAGAAUGGCCUAAACCCCUCAGCGGCAUGCCAACAUCACUCAGGUCCUUUGACCCUACGUGCACCUCAGUCUCUUGUGAAUAGUGUCUGCUUCUCAAGUGCUUGUACUAAGUUGUAAGGACUCAACUGAUGUGGAAAAAGAAAAAGACAGCAAAGAGACUUAAGAUAUUUUAGGCAAAUCACGUAUGUUAAAGGACAUUAUUGGGCACCACAAGUUCACAAUGGCUAAUUUUGCAUACUUCCUUAAAGGAUAAAUGUAGGUCUGGGUUUAUUGGUACCACCCACCUGAGAUUUCCUAUGGACUCUUCUAAGCAUAAGAUCAUCUGCACCCUUGAGUCAUCUCAGGAUUCUACUCCAGGACCAGAUCCUUCUUAGAAUUUCAUCAUCUAUGCCCUCUUGAGUCUGUGUCUUCCACCGAACUGGACUCUUUCGUUAGCCCCACCUAUCACUGUACACAAUAAAUAGCGGCUGUUCUGGAGUGUGGGACAGACCCCACUGAGAAACACUGA